GACAUAUUAUCUUACAGCUGCGUGGGUUUCAGUGGAAGUAUCAGCUCGGAAUGAACGUAACUUAGCAAUUUCGAUUGAGAAACAACUGGAGGGGCAAGUCCUGGUGCCAGCAGCCGCGGUAAUUCCAGCUCCAGUAGUUGCUUAAAGUUGUUGCGUUUAAAACGCUCGUAGUUGGAUCACGCAGCAGUGUUCAGUAAUCUAUUCACAAGGAAGGUGAUGGUUGUGCUCGUCUCUGACGACGUAACUGAUCCUUACUUUGGUAGAUGUUUAAGCUGACCGCUGUUAAUUGCACGUGAGAUGGAUCGUUGACCUUUAAUGUGUCGGUAAUCCCGUCUUGCGGAGUGUGCCUUGAAUAAAACAGAGUGCUUAAAGCAGGCUUAUGCCUGAAUGUUAUAGCAUGGAACGAACAAUCGUGUCUACGUGCACAUUUCUCAUAUGAUGAUUGGCCUAUGGUUAGUUAUUGUUGGGAGUGUGUACAUCACCCACCAAAGUAUGGCUGUUGGUUCCAUAUACGGUGAUGAUUAACAGGAGCGGUUGGGGGCAUCAGUAUUUGGCCGCGAGAGGUGAAAUUCUUGGACCGGCCAAGGACUAACAAAUGCAAAGGCACUUGUCCAGACCGUUUCCAUCAUUCAAGAAGGAAACCGCGUGCUUUGCAGAGGAUCAGAUACCGUCCUAGUUCCCACUGUAAACUAUGCCGACAUGAGCGCGUUCAACAGCUACCACAUCCUCCCAAGGGGUCCGCCUAGGGAACAACACGUUUCUGGGUUGGAGCGAGAGUGCCCAAAAGUAGCUAUACAGGUCUCGACUGCGGCCUUGUUAUCUCCUGUGGGUGUGCCAAGCCCCUGGUAGAGGACCACGCGGAGGGCACAUCUGCAGCCCGCCGCCGGAAAGAUUCACCGAUCAAUAGAUCCAAGUAAAGCUGACGACAUUUUGAAACGGUUUGCCU
rnacentral:rRNA from 2 species